CCCUGACCUCAUUUAAGUGUUGGCAGUAGAGGGAAAGGUAUCUUGCUGCUGACCCCUGUGUACCUGAGACUUUCCAAAGGUUGUUGUCCUAUAAAGCUGUUCAAGUUCCUCUCUUCGUGAGAACAUCUUCGUGCUAUCCCUGCUGCAUACAAGCAUUAUGUUAGAUCGAGAAGAAGGCUAUUCAGGAAAACUAUCCCCAAAUACUUCUGAAGCACUAUUCAAGAUUCUUUUGUGUAAAACCUUACCAGAAGAGGAAUGCCUUGUUUGCCCUGCUGCUCCAUCACCCAUCUGAUGACUGCUUAACAGACUUGUGAUUAUACUGUUAAUAUAACAAUUUCUGUGUAAAAAGUUGCCUGGCUUGUGUCUGAGGAAAUCCAUGAGCGCUGGAUAGGUACGCUUGCUUGCGUGUGGACUCUUUGCUGAUUUAUUAUAGAGGCAUCACCCAACUUCCCUAUUAUGACACGAAAGCUGGGAAGAAUGAUUUAGCACUACAUCUCUUCCAGUGUUAAAAUGCAGAGUUUCUAGAAUCGUGAGCCUGCGCCCCAGGAGGGUGACUCAGACCUUUUGCUGAGCAUUAGGGAAAUCUUUGUGUCAGGCUCCUGAAAGUAACCAUACCAGAAGUUGUGUGUCCUUACCAAGUUAAGUGUCCUCUGAAUUUCUCUGUGAGAGAAGCAGUGCUUUCUUCCUCUGUGUCCUUUUCCCAGUAAUGGACAGUAUCUACAAAUGUAAAAUGCCACGCUGCGUGUUGGUCCCACAAGAAUUCUUAGGUAAUGCCACAACCUCCAAGGUAACAUCUGCCCUUGUGUCGUGCAGGUACUGAGAAGGGGAGAAAUUGGUCUGAUCUGCCAAAAAGGGAGGGAAACAAAAGUAUGUAAGAACAGUCACAAAAUGUUUUUAUGAAUUGCAGUCUAUGGAGCUGCAGUUAGAUCACACGCCAAUAGUUCCAGAGUUAUUUUUCAUCCUCAAGCUUUCAUGUGUCCUAUGCACAUACAAAACUCUGAAUUCCCUCCCCAAGGAGCCAAGAAAAUGUUUUCCUUAAAUCUGUGACAGCAAUAGUACUGUUUUGCAUGUGUUUAAUAAGAGCAGAAUUACAGUAAUGUUCCUGUUCCAUGUGAGCAAAUAUAGUAAGUAUUUCCACAAUGGCUACAACUGGGAUUUUGUAAUGCUCACUGCUUUAACCAGUUUAAAUAAAGCAAGGCGAGCCCCUAUCUGAUUUGCUAAACAAGUUCUGUCCUGACUCUUUGUGUACAUCCUAAAUCUUUCUCUAGCUGUUAGUCAAAACAAAUCCAUAAUUAAGGAGAACUACCCCCUUAUUACUGUUUAAUUUCCUGAUAAAGACAUUAAAUUAAAUUAAAAGGAAUUUCCCCAAAAGCCCCCCUUCCAGACUGAAUCCCUGCACUGACAAGCUAUUGGAUUUUC